GAGCCCAGCCUAGGAUUCCCAGGGGUUCACAGCCUGUGUUCAGGACAGAAUACAGACAACUCACUAUGGAGUUUUGGCUCAGCUGGAUUUUCCUUGUUGCUAUUUUAAGAGGUGUCCAGUGUGAUGUGCAGCUGGUGCAGUCUGGGGGAGGCUUGGUGAAGCCUGGAGGGUCCCUGAAACUCUCCUGUGCAGCCUCUGGAUUCACCUUCAGUAGCUACUGGAUGAGCUGGGUCUACCAGGCUCCAGGGAAGGGGCUAGAGUGGGUCUCAUGCAUUCGAUAUGAUGGUGGUAGCACAAACUAUGCCAACUCUGUGAAAGGCCGAUUCACCAUCUCCAGAGACAAUGGCAAGAACACGCUCUACCUGCAAAUGAACAACGUGAAAGCCGAGGACACGACCAUGUAUCACUGUGCAGGAGACACACUGAGCCACAGGUCUUCUGCCCUGGGCACCCUGGUCUUCAGCCUUCAAGUGAAGAUGGAUUACAGCAGCACAUCUCCUGACUCUGCCAACCCAAACCACAUCUCCUAG